rnacentral:rRNA from 1 species
UUGAUCCUGGCUCAGGAUGAACGCUGGCGGCGUGCUUAACACAUGCAAGUCGAACGAUGAAGCCCAGCUUGCUGGGUGGAUUAGUGGCGAACGGGUGAGUAACACGUGAGUAACCUGCCCUUGACUCUGGGAUAAGCCUGGGAAACUGGGUCCUAAUACUGGAUAUGACUUCUCACCGCAUGGUGGGGGGUGGAAAGAUUUAUUGGUCUUGGAUGGACUCGCGGCCUAUCAGCUUGUUGGUGAGGUAAUGGCUCACCAAGGCGACGACGGGUAGCCGGCCUGAGAGGGUGACCGGCCACACUGGGACUGAGACACGGCCCAGACUCCUACGGGAGGCAGCAGUGGGGAAUAUUGCACAAUGGGCGCAAGCCUGAUGCAGCGACGCCGCGUGAGGGAUGACGGCCUUCGGGUUGUAAACCUCUUUCAGUAGGGAAGAAGCGAAAGUGACGGUACCUGCAGAAGAAGCGCCGGCUAACUACGUGCCAGCAGCCGCGGUAAUACGUAGGGCGCGAGCGUUAUCCGGAAUUAUUGGGCGUAAAGAGCUCGUAGGCGGUUUGUCGCGUCUGCCGUGAAAGUCCGGGGCUUAACCCCGGAUCUGCGGUGGGUACGGGCAGACUAGAGUGCAGUAGGGGAGACUGGAAUUCCUGGUGUAGCGGUGAAAUGCGCAGAUAUCAGGAGGAACACCGAUGGCGAAGGCAGGUCUCUGGGCUGUAACUGACGCUGAGGAGCGAAAGCAUGGGGAGCGAACAGGAUUAGAUACCUGGUAGUCCAUGCGUAAACGUUGGGCACUAGGUGUGGGGGACAUUCCACGUUUUCCGCGCCGUAGCUAACGCAUUAAGUGCCCCGCCUGGGGAGUACGGCCGCAAGGCUAAAACUCAAAGGAAUUGACGGGGGCCCGCACAAGCGGCGGAGCAUGCGGAUUAAUUCGAUGCAACGCGAAGAACCUUACCAAGGCUUGACAUGUUCCUGACCGCCGUAGAGAUACGGUUUCCCCUUUGGGGCAGGUUCACAGGUGGUGCAUGGUUGUCGUCAGCUCGUGUCGUGAGAUGUUGGGUUAAGUCCCGCAACGAGCGCAACCCUCGUUCCAUGUUGCCAGCACGUAGUGGUGGGGACUCAUGGGAGACUGCCGGGGUCAACUCGGAGGAAGGUGGGGACGACGUCAAAUCAUCAUGCCCCUUAUGUCUUGGGCUUCACGCAUGCUACAAUGGCCGGUACAAUGGGUUGCAAUACUGUGAGGUGGAGCUAAUCCCAAAAAGCCGGUCUCAGUUCGGAUUGGGGUCUGCAACUCGACCCCAUGAAGUCGGAGUCGCUAGUAAUCGCAGAUCAGCAACGCUGCGGUGAAUACGUUCCCGGGCCUUGUACACACCGCCCGUCAAGUCACGAAAGUUGGUAACACCCGAAGCCGGUGGCCUAACCCU